rnacentral:rRNA from 1 species
ACGGCUCAGUAACACGUGGAUAACCUGCCCUUGGGUCCGGCAUAACCCCGGGAAACUGGGGAUAAUUCCGGAUAACGCACAUAUGCUGGAAUGCUUUAUGCGUAAAAUGGAUUCGUCUGCCCAAGGAUGGGUCUGCGGCCUAUCAGGUAGUAGUGGGUGUAAUGUACCUACUAGCCUACAACGGGUACGGGUUGUGAGAGCAAGAGCCCGGAGAUGGAUUCUGAGACAUGAAUCCAGGCCCUACGGGGCGCAGCAGGCGCGAAAACUUUACAAUGCGGGAAACCGUGAUAAGGGGACACCGAGUGCCAGCAUCAUAUGCUGGCUGUCCAGGUGUGUAAAAUACACCUGUUAGCAAGGGCCGGGCAAGACCGGUGCCAGCCGCCGCGGUAACACCGGCGGCCCGAGUGGUGAUCGUGAUUAUUGGGUCUAAAGGGUCCGUAGCCGGUUUGGUCAGUCCUCCGGGAAAUCUGACGGCUUAACCGUUAGGCUUUCGGGGGAUACUGCCAGGCUUGGAACCGGGAGAGGUAAGAGGUACUACAGGGGUAGGAGUGAAAUCUUGUAAUCCCUGUGGGACCACCUGUGGCGAAGGCGUCUUACCAGAACGGGUUCGACGGUGAGGGACGAAAGCUGGGGGCACGAACCGGAUUAGAUACCCGGGUAGUCCCAGCCGUAAACGAUGCUCGCUGGGUGUCACGCAUGGCGCGACCGUGUCUGGUGCCGCAGGGAAGCCGUGAAGCGAGCCACCUGGGAAGUACGGCCGCUAGGCUGAAACUUAAAGGAAUUGGCGGGGGAGCAC